UAAAGAACAAUGCAUAGUGUGAAAACGCGGAUUAUAUAAAAGUAUAUAAUAAAGUGCGAGCAGACAGCAGAGGAUCAAUCAAACUUGGGCUGGAAUGAUUGUAGUGCAUCCAAUCUUGGAAAUCGUAGUUUACAUCUACAGCAGCAUAUGCUACAGCAGUGACAACGCCAAAGAAAAGGACUACAUUUCCCAGAAUGCACCUGCACCCACUCAUCUGCCCCACCCUUCAGGUGCGACUGCUUGACCUAUGGGCUCGACGGGAAAAUUCAAAAUCGCGAACCGUUACAGCCUGCCUGGACUACUCUUUGUUUGCUUGCACAUCAACAGUUAAGAGGUCAUGUACACUGUGGUCAACUUUGUGGACGCUGAAGAGGUUUCUGGGUAAAGAUGAUAGAAAUAUAAUGAAGUAACAGUGGAAGCUAAAACAUCAGACUGAUCUAGACACUGAAGAAAUUGAUGUCACUGCAAUCUGGCCAAAAUGAUACAACUAUAUUGAAGUAGCCUACUGUAAUGAAGCUGCAGAACGUCACAGAGACUCUGAGGACAUCAACACAGAAAAUCUAGGCUCCAAAGAGAUGUCUGUCCAGAUGAGGGUGCAUCAACGUUACCUUUGCUGACAAGUAUAUGCUUUACAAUGUAAAACCUAACAGUUAACUUAACUCAAUGGUUUAAGGCAACAGAUUUCCUUAAAUGGUUUAAGUUUUAAAAAGAUACAUUUGAGUACUGUGAACUUAAGUCUUGUGCAAUCUUGAACUUAUAUUUAGGUAGUGUGAACUUAAAUAUAAGUGCUUAACUGCAUGUGACUCAGUUUGAGGCUGUUUACACUUGGCAUUAACAUGUGUUUUUGUCGAUCGGAUCACAAGUGGACGACGUUAAUGCCAGGUGUAAACGGUGUUCAAAACGUUUUGAGCUCGUCCACUUUCGACCACUUUCAACCACAUCCAGAGGUGGUCGAAACCACUUUCGAUCGGAUCGCUUUGGAGUUGCGGAACGCACAUGUGGUUGAAUGCGUUCGAACAGCCACAAGCGACCGCCUUCUCUCCGCCCAUUUAUCUAAUCUGAGGUAUUAAACACAAGUUUUACGUCUUUUUUGACUUCUGGCGUGAACAUUCGGUGAACAGCGCUAUUUUUAGCCUUUCAUUGAUAAAACUAAGCGGUUGAUCUCCGUAGUUUCGUUUUGAAAGCGUGUGAAAGUUGCGCGAUCCUAUUUCAUCAAUUGCGCUGAAGAUUCAAAGAAAGCUCUUACAUACUCAUGUACAAAACACUGUGCAGCAUGUUUACUUGCUAAACAAGCAGUGCACUCCGACAUAAUAUUAUUUUGCGUCCAUAUAAACUCACAAUUACUCCCACUCGGGUUUGAUUGACACAGGGUUCCCGCGGGGUCUUAAAAAGUCUUAAAAAGUCUGAAAUUUAGAAAGUUAAAUUUAAGGCCAUAAAAAGUCUUAAAAAUGGCCAGAUUUUCACCCUAAGUCUUAAAUAUAAUUAACCCAAGUCUUAAAUUUCUUACCUCCAUUUAUUUCCGAAAAGGUUGUCCGAAAAAAAAUAAAAUGGUAAAUUAAAAUGCCUCAGUGACGGAGGAAGAAUGUAUUUGAUGGGUGGGCCUCUAAAAAGAAAAGUUCUGCACUUUGCGUGUCACUGAAUGUCUCUUCAAUCCAGUUUUUAAUAAUUAUUUUUUAAAGAGAAUACAAAUGUAGGCUAUUAUAAUCCACGCAAUUCAUGCCAUAAGCUAUAUUUCAGAUGUUGUGAUCCGACUGUAUACUGUAGGUUUGGCGAGAAAAAUCUUUUCUGUGUUAAUUUAAUCAAUUAGCCCGUGGCUUACCAGAGCAUUUGCAAGGUUCUGAAACAGAGGACCAAGAAGCGAAAAAAUCAACACGCUUUAUUGAAAAUCAACUUAAACAGUCAGGCCGUCAAGUCCCGCGCCAUCAACGAGUCAACUUUAGUGUUACACAGUUUUCAUAUGCAGCCUACAAAUGCGACCUCUGGAGGCUACAGCCUUCGGAUUUAGAAACGGCCUUGUUUGCAACACACAACAAACCACGAACAGCCUUUUAAUAGUAAAUUUCCUUUUCAUUUCAUUAUUGUGUAAUUAGAGAGGGGAAUAAAUGCGAUGGCGGUAUAGUGCAUAUUUAUGCAUUUAACGUAUGGGUGGAGAAAGUGUAAAACAUGUUAACAAGCCACAUAUCAGCAGCUGACCAUACUGAUCUUCCCAUAUUAGUGGAUUUUAUUUGUCAAAAAAAUAAAUAAAUAAACAAAGAUAUAAUAAAAAUAUAAUGUUUUGAGAAUUUCUGAGAUCAUUGUGCCGCUUUGGUCUUAAAUUUCACUCAUAAUGGUCUUAAAAAGGUCUUAAAAAGUCUUAAAUUUGACUUGGUGAAACUUGCAGGAACCCUGUGACAGCAGAGAGACUCGCCCACCGUCUCACAGACCACCCCCUCAUAGUAUUCAGCACAGAAGCGGUCGAAAGUGGACAAAAGAGACGGAUUUAAAUACCAGGUGUAAACGUAAUGUGUCUCUCUCGUCCACUUGUGAUCCGAUCGAUGAAAACACAUCUUAAUACCAAGUGUAAACAGCCCCUUGUUUAAGUUCACAGUACUCAAAUCUAUGUGUUUUAAAACUUGAAUGGUUUAAUGCAACCGGUUUUCUUAAAUGUGAGAAAUUACAGUGUUACAGUGAGAAAUGUUUGAAUAAUUCCAAGACAGAGCUCUGUGAUUGAUUCUACACUGCAAAAAAUCACUUUCUAACACUUUUUAUCUUGUUUUCAGUAGAAAAACUAAAUAUUCUUAAAUCAAGAUGUAUUUUCUUGAUGAGCAAAAUUACCUUAGAAAAUAUGUCUAGUUUUUAGACAAAAAUAUACAAUGUAAGAUAAUUUGUGGCUAAACAAAAAAAAUCUAACAAUGGGGUGAGAAAAUUGUGUUUUAAUUAAGUUUUUAAGAAAAAAGAAAACUUAAGAUUUUUUUCUCACACUAUUGGCAGAUAUUUUUGAUUGUUUUAAGCUCAAAUUCACUUAAUGUGUGUGUGUAUUUUAUUUAUUUAUUUAGUCUUAAACUAGACUUAUUUUCUUGGGUCAUUCUGUUCCUCAAGAAAAAGCAUUUUAAUUUAAAUAGUAUUUUUGUCUUGUUUUCAGUAGAAAUAUUAUGUAAGAAAGUCAUUUUUUGCAGUGUAGGACUGAUUUCUUAAGAGCAAGAUCAAUAUAGUUGUUGUUCAUUUUAUUUAGAUAUUUACUACAUUACAGUGGCAAGCUGGUGACUUCUUUUUUUUUGUGAGCACUCGAUGCGAAGUUUGUCACAACAUGUGCCCGUCAUUUGUGUGGUUCCCAAUUUCAAAAUAUGUGUUCUGCGUGUAUGUGCAUCAUGUGUUUUGACUAAACACGUGAUGCACGUGGUUUACAUGAAGCAACAAACACAUAUUUUAAAAACACAAGCAACACACAUGACACUCCGAACACUUAUUUUGAAUUUGCAACCCUCGGAUGAGCAGUCACGAGCCGCCACUGCUACAUUACAUUGUACUGCUUUGAAUGUAGUUUUCAUUGUUGCUUUUAUUUUGUUUUAUUUUACUCUAAUAUUGCUUUCUCUGUCUGUAUAUUUAUGAGUUUAAAUGGUAUUGUUUAUGUAUGCAGCUUUUAAUAUUUGUGUAUUAUAUUAUUUUGUGAUUGUGACAAUUGUGGAUUGUUCAGUUUUUUAUUAAAUAAACAUUUCAAACUCAA